rnacentral:lncRNA from 1 species
GCCCGUGAUUAGAGGGAAGACAAUGUCACCAUCUGUUGAUGUGUUGACCAAAAUUCAUAUAAAACAGUUAUUCUAAAAUAUAAUAUGAUAUGCAUCAUAUUGAAAGAUUUUUUCUUUUUGGAUUUUUUGUUUGGGAUAAUACGAACGGUAUAUUCCACUGGUAAGACCGGAACCCUAGAGUGCCAACCAGCUAAGCUAAUGACAACCCGAAAACAAUAUUGUUAAUCAAAAAGUCAUAAAAGCUAAGACUUUAAACUAAUCAACCUUUCUCCUGUAAGAC